UUCACAGGUAUCAAUGAAAAAUAACUGUGAAGCUUAAAAUGUCUUCAUAUCUUUCAGGGCUUCUCAUUUCCUUCUGGCAUAAUUGCACCAUGAGAGUCACAGAACACUUCAAAUACAAUGAUGGUGAGAGCAACAUGUAUCAAAAAAGCCUACAGGUCCUUUGUGGUGGGGACAAAAACACAGAGAUAUGAUCAAAUGCUGUCGUCUGACCAAAGAGAAAUUUAUCGCUCAUCUGAGAGAGCUUCCUAAUUUGAAGCUAAAAGCCUCCCCUUCCAGAAUGCAUGUGAACGUGCUAUUAAGAAGGAUAAGCUUGGAGUGCCCGGUCACCGUGGUAACUGCCAGAAAAAUUCUCCUGAAGUUUGAAGAGGUCAGCGAGCGGGGUCACCAACUCUGGCCUCUCCCCGCGCCGGGGCCGGCCGGCUCCAUCCCGCGGCGGCAGCGGCGGCCCGGGCCGAGCCCUGGGAGGUUCUCGGAUACAGGCAUGAUGCUACAAAGUCUGUGUGAAAGACGUCAGAGGGAAAUACUUAUUUGAAGAGAUCUUUGUUAUUAGAUGCAUAGUAAGUUUUAUGAAAGGUUCAAUUUUAUAAAAUGCAAAUUCUGGACUAAUGGCUCCUCUAAAAGCCUUUAUGAUCUCUGUAGCCACGUAAUUAAACUACUACUCASCUCUACUUCAGAUAUCCAACAGAAGUCAGAACUGCAAAAAAU
rnacentral:lncRNA from 1 species